CUUGCUCUUUUUAUGUUUCCAUUAGCAUGGAAUAUCUUUUUCCAUCCCUUGAUUUUAGUCUAUGUGUGUCUUUAUAGGGACAGUGUGUUUCUUGUAGGAAACAGACCAUUAGGUCAUAUAUUUAUAUCCAUUCAGCCAUUGUAUGUCUUUGACUGGAGAGUUUAUUUAGUCCAUUUACAGUCAUUUUUACUAUUGAUAAGUAAGCACAUACUCCUGCAAUUUUGUUAUUUGUUUUCUGGUUGUUUGGGGUCUUCUUUUUUCUUCCUGUCUUCCUUUUAGUGAGGUUGAGUUUCCUGGUGAUAUGAAUUAGUUUCUCGUUUUUUAAUUUUUGAGUAUUUGUUGCAUGCUUUUUGGUUUGAAAUUACCAUGAGGUUUGCAAAUACUCUUACAUACCAUUAUUUUAAACUGAUAGCAAAUUAAAACUGUUUGCACAAACAAACACCCAACCAAGCAAAAAUUAAACUGAUACUCUUUGCCUUAAUCUUGACCCCACACUUUUUAAACUUUUUAUUGUUUCUAUUUAUAUUUCAUUGUACUGUCUGUGGCUUGAAAAGUUGUUGCAGUUAUUAUUUUUGAUUGGUUCAUUAUUUAGUUUUCAUACUUAAGAGUAGUUUACACACCACAGUUACCGUGUUAUAAUAUUCUGUGGUUUUUUUGUAUACUUACUAUUACCAGUGAGUUUUUUACCUUCAGAUGAUUUCUUAUUACUUAUUAACAUUUUUUUCUUUCUGCUUGAAGUACUCCCUUUGGCAUUCUUUUUUCCCCCUUGGAAUCUACUUAAACUAAUGAGCGUUUGCACAGCAAAGGAAACCACCAACAGAGUGGACAGACAACCUCCAGAAUGGAAGAAAAUAUUUGUUUUCUUUUCUUUUUUUUAAUUUAUUUUUUAUUAUACUUUAAGUUCUGAAAUACAUGUGCAGAAUGUGCAGGUUUGUUACAUAGGUAUACAUGUGCCAUGGUGGUUUGCUGCACCCAUCAACCCACCAUCUAGAUUUUAAGGCCUGCAUGCAUUAGGUAUUUGUCCUAAUGCUCUCUGUCUUCUUGCCCCACUAACACAGUAACAGAAAACGAACACUGCAUGUUCUCACUCGUAAGUGGGAGUUGAACAAUGAGAACACAUGGACACAGGGAGGGGAACAUAGCAUUUCUUAUGGAAUAGAUCUGGUGUUGCUAAAAUUCCUCAGCUUUUGUUUAUAUAGUAAAAUCUUUGUGUCUCCUUCAUGCUUUUUUUGUUUUUUGUUUGUUUGUUUGUUUUGUUUUUGUUUUUAGACAAAGUUGGGCUCUUUUGCCAAGGCUGGAGUGCAGUGGUACAAUCUUGGCUCACUGCAACCUCUGCUUCCCAGUCUCAAGCCAUCUUGCCAUCUCAGCAUCCCAAGUAACUGAGAUUACAGGUGAACACCACUGUGUCUAGCUAAUUUUUGUAUUUUUGUAGUGAUGAAGUAUCACCAUGUUACCCAGGCUGCUCUCAAAUUCCUGAGCUCAAGCAAUUUGCCCACCUCGGCCUCCCAAAAUGCUGGGAUUACAGGAAUGAGCCACUGUGCCUGGCCAAUCAUGUUUGAAGGAUAUUUUCACCAGAUGUACUAUUAUAAGACACAGAGAUCAUGUGUGAUUCAGUAUGUGCGGAUGUGUCCUAUGAGGAAGAGAAGUGAACUGGUGUGGUUAUGAUUACUUAUACACAGCUACCAUGGAGAACCCAGACAGACAAUUGGAAUUCUUGCAGUUGAAGGCCCUUUGGAAGUAUCAGGCCUUCUUUGUGAAUUUGUGACUUUGUCUACAGCUUUAAAGAUUCAACAAGUAAGUGAAGAAAGAUGCACCUGAGUGAAAUUCAGAAAUGGAUACCCCAGAGAGAGACAGCACAAUCCAGUGAGAAAAACGAAGAAAGAUAGGGCUGAAUUUCCAUCCUGGUUCUAUGGCUAGCUGUGUUAUAAGGGUUAAUUUGUUCAGCUUCGCUGAGCUUCAAUUUUUCUCAUCUGUAUAAAAGUGGUCAUCAUAAUACCUAUUCCAUAGGGUAGGUAUGAGACAUCACAAGUCAAAUAUCUGGCACAUACUAAGAUGGGUAUUCUCAGAUUGUUUUAAGAAUGUAUUGGAUGCUUUCUAAGAACAGCAAAAAAAUUGUUGUCUGUACAGGUUAUGUUAUGAGCUCUCCUGCCACAACACUUUAUGGUGAGGUUGAACUGGACCCUGGAGCACCCAGCUAGGUCCACUCAAUUCUAUUCAACUACAUAGACAGCAAUGUAGGAAGGGCAUUCUGUAGAGUAUAAAUACCAAGAGCAAAGAAAACGCACAAUCAGAAAACAUUAAGUCACCCAGCAGGACUGAAACAUAAAGUAGAGGAAGAGAGAAAGAGACAUAUGAAGCUGGAAGGGAGAGUACAGAUAGAAGCAAUGUCACCAAGGUAAAAUUACAAGAACCCCUAAAGUAUGUAUGGCAUUUUACUAUUCACAAGGACUUCUGUAUCCACUUACAAAAACUUCUACAUCUGCUAUAUAACUUUGUCUUUGCAAAGACUUUGUGCAUAUAUUUAUUCACCCAUUAAAAAUAUUUAUUCAGUGCCCACUCUGCAUUGCCAGAAACUUUUCCAGGUGCAGAAAUGUAUCACUGAACAAAACAGUUUAAAACUCCUACCUAUGUGGAGCUUAUACCCUGGCCCAUGAGACAUGUUCUACACUACAGGCAUGCCCUGUUUUACUGCAUUUUAUUUUAUUGUGCUUACCAGAUAUCACAUUUUUUACAAAUUGAAGGUUUCUGGCAACCCUCAUCAAGCAAGUCUAUUUGUGCCAUUUUUCCAACAGUAUAUGCUUACUUCAUAUGUCUGUGUCACAUUUUGGUAAUUCUUACAUUUUGAACUUUCUAAAUUAUUAUAUCUGUUAUGGCAAUCUCUGAACAGUGAUCUUUGAUUUUACGAUUGCAAUUUUUGGGAGUGCCAUCAGCCACAUCCAUGUAAAACAGGACACUUACUCAAUAAAUGUUGUACGUGUUCAGACUAUUUCACUGACCAGCAGUUCCCCUGUCUCUCUUCCUCUUUUAGGUCCUCCUUAUUCCUUGAAAGACAAUAAUAAUAAAAUCUGGCAAAUUAAUAACCCUACAAUGUCCUCUAAGUGUUCACGUGAAAAGAGGAGUUUCAUGUCUCUCACUUUAGAUCAAAUCUAGUAAUUAUUAAACUUAGUGAGAAACAGCAUGAUGAAAGUCAAUACAGGCUGUAAACUAGGCUUCUUGGCUAGUUAGCCAAGUUGUGAAUACAAAUAAAAAGUUAUUGAAUGUAAUCAAAAGUGCUACUCAAGUGAACACAAAUAAUAAUAAGACAAAACAGAUUUAUUACUGAGAUGCAGAAAGCUUUAGUUCUCUGGAUAGAAGAUUAAGCCAGCCACAGCAUUCCUUUAAGCCAAAGCCUAAUCCAGAGAAAGACCUUAACUCUCCUCAAUUCUAUGAGUGCUGAGAGAAGUGAGGAUGAUACAGAAGAAAAGUUGAAAGCUUUUCAUGUGGUUCAUAU
rnacentral:lncRNA from 10 species